rnacentral:rRNA from 1 species
CACGUAGGCGGGUCGUUAAGUCGGGGUGAAAUCCUGGAGCUCAACUCCAGAACUGCCUUCGAUACUGGCGAUCUUGGAGUCCGGGAGAGGUGGGUGGAACUGCGAGUGUAGAGGUGAAAUUCGUAGAUAUUCGCAAGAACACCAGUGGCGAAGGCGGCUCACUGGCCCGGCACUGACGCUGAGGUGCGAAAGCGUGGGGAGCAAACA